rnacentral:rRNA from 1 species
GCAAGUCGAACGGUAACAGAACUAGCUUGCUAGUUGCUGACGAGUGGCGGACGGGUGAGUAAUGCUUGGGAAUUUGCCUUUAGGUGGGGGACAAAAGUUGGAAACGACUGCUAAUACCGCAUGAUAACUACGGAGCAAAGGGGGCUUCGGCUCCCGCCUUUAGAGAAGCCCAAGUGGGAUUAGGUAGUUGGUGAGGUAAAGGCUCACCAAGGCGACGAUCCCUAGCUGGUCUGAGAGGAUGAUC